UGUCCUAUUAGGUUGUUGGUAGGGUAAUUGCCUACCAAGCCGAUGAUGGGUAGCUGGACUGAGAGGUCGACCAGCCGCAAUGGGAUUGAAAUACGGCCCAUAUUCCUACGGGAAGCAGCAGUGAGGAAUUUUUCACAAUGGACGAAAGUCUGAUGGAGCAAUACCAUGUGAACGAUGAAGGUCUUCUGAUUGUAAAGUUCUUUUAUUUAGGAAAAAAAGCUUGAUAGGAAAUGAUUAAGCCUUGAUUGUACUAAAUGAAUAAGUGACAGCUAACUAUGUGCCAGCAGCUGCGGUAAAACAUAGGUCACGAGCAUUAUCCGGAUUUAUUGGGCGUAAAGGAAGCGUAGGCGGACAAAUUGAUCUAUUGUUAAAGGCACUUGCUCAACGAGUUGUUUGUGAUAGAUAUCGUUUGUCUAGAAUUAGUUAGGAGAUACUGGAAUUCAAUGUGUAGCGGUGGAAUGCGUAGAUAUAUUGAGGAACACCAGAGGCUAAGGCGAGUAUCUAGGACAUAAUUGACGCUGAGGCUUGAAAGCGUGGGGAGCAAAUGGGAUUAGAUACCCCAGUAGUCCACGCCGUAAACGAUGGGUAUUAGGUAUUUGGUCUAGGACUGAGUGCUGUAGCUAACGCGUUUAAAUACCCCGCCUGGGUAGUAUAUAUGCAAAUAUGAAACUCAAAGAAAUUGACGGGGACCUGAACAAGUGGUGGAGCAUGUUGCUUAAUUCGAUAAUACACGAAAAACCUUACCGAGGCUUGUAAUCUUUUGCGAAGCUAUAGAAAUAUAGUGGAGGUUAUCAGAAUGACAGGUGGUGCAUGGCUGUCGUCAGCUCGUGUCUUGAGAUGUUUGGUUAAGUCCCGUAACGAGCGCAACCCUUCUCUUUAGUUAAAUAGUUCUAAAGUGACUGAAUCGUAAGAUAUAGGAAGGCUGGGGCCAAGUCAAGUCAUCAUGCCCCUUAUGCCUCGGGCUGCAAACGUGCUACAAUGGUAGGCAUAAUGUGUCGCAAUCUAGAAAUAGGGAGCUAAUCACCGAAAACCUAUCUCAGUCCGGAUAAA
rnacentral:rRNA from 1 species